AUUGAACGCUGGCGGCAGGCCUAACACAUGCAAGUCGAGCGGCACGGCGGAAGGGUGAGUAAUGCCUAGGAAUCUGCCUGGUAGUGGGCGAUAACGUCCGGAAACGGGCGAUAAUACCGCAUACUAUCAGCGGAGCCUAGGUCGGAUUAGCUAGUUGGUGGGGUAAAGGCCUACCAAGGCGACGAUCCGUAACUGGUCUGAGAGGAUGAUCCGUCACACUGGAACUGAGACACGGUCCAGACUCCUACGGGAGGCAGCAGUGGGGAAUAUUCGACAAUGGGCGAAAGCCUGAUCCAGCCAUGCCGCGUGUGUGAAGAAGGUCUUCGGAUUGUAAAGCACUGUAAGUUGGGAGGCGGUACCCGCAGAAGAAGCACCGGCUAACUCCGUGCCAGCAGCCGCGGUAAUUC
rnacentral:rRNA from 1 species